rnacentral:rRNA from 1 species
CUGGCUCAGGAUGAACGCUAGCGGCAGGCUUAACACAUGCAAGUCGAGGGGCAUCGGGAGUAGCAAUACUUGCCGGCGACCGGCGCAAGGGUGCGUAACGCGUGAGCAACAUGCCCGUAUCAGGGGGAUAAUCCAUGGAAACGUGGUCUAAUACCCCAUAGUAAUUAUGUAAGGCAUCUUAUAUAAUUUAAAGCUUUGGUGGAUACGGAUUGGCUCGCGUGACAUUAGCUGGAUGGUAAGGUAACGGCUUACCAUGGCUACGAUGUCUAGGGGUUCUGAGAGGAAGGUCCCCCACACUGGAACUGAGACACGGUCCAGACUCCUACGGGAGGCAGCAGUGAGGAAUAUUGGACAAUGGAUGGAAAUCUGAUCCAGCCAUGCCGCGUGCAAGGAAGACGGCCCUAUGGGUUGUAAACUGCUUUUGUAUGGGAGCAAUAAGGGCUACGUGUAGUCCGAUGAGAGUACCAUACGAAUAAGCACCGGCUAACUCCGUGCCAGCCGCCGC